rnacentral:lncRNA from 1 species
AGCUUACCGCGCUGUUUGUUCAGCCUGAGGGAGUCGCGAGAGGGAGGAGCUGAUCACUCGCUCCCUCAAUCCAGUUAUAAACUGAAAUACUGAACGGGAAACUCGUGUGUCAGGCAGAGACUGAGCGGUAUCUCUCUUGAAACGGGAACAAAGGACUGCGGUAAAAGUGGGAACUGUACCAUGUUUAAGGGAGUGCUGAAGAAAGGGCGAGAGGGAGGCGGAAGAACUGGCAAAAGAGACACAGGAAGUCAAUCCCUCAGCCCCAGUUUCCAUCACAGAGUUCAGGAAGAGGAGAUUGUGGGUGUUCAGAAUCAUGGGAGUGGGCCGCUGCCAGUACAGCCGUACCCUGCAGAGGAGAUGCUGAGGCCGAGUUUUACCAGAGGAGUGUCCGUCUCCCUCCCUUCCUCCCCCCUGCUCCUUCCCCGCCAACCCUAUCUUUCUCCAGUCCGGUCCAACAAGUCACCAGGUACAUAACAGUCACUUUUUAAAUGUACUUACUAGGAGUGUGCGAUAUUGACAGUUU